CCUACGGGAGGCAGCAGUGAGGAAUAUUGGUCAAUGGCCGUAAGGCUGAACCAGCCAAGUCGCGUGAAGGAAGAAGGAUCUCUGGUUUGUAAACUUCUUUUAUGGGGGAAUAAAGGUAUCCACGUGUGGCUUUUUGCAUGUACCCUCUGAGUAAGCAUCGGCUAACUCCGUGCCAGCAGCCGCGGUAAUACGGAGGAUGCGAGCGUUAUCCGGAUUUAUUGGGUUUAACGGGUGCGUAGGUGGUUUGUUAAGUCAGCGGUGAAAGUUUGUGGCUCAACCAUAAAAUUGCCGUUGAUACUGGAAGACUUGAGUGUGUUUGAGGUAGGCGGAAUGCGUGGUGUAGCGGUGAAAUGCAUAGAGAUCACGCAGAACUCCGAUUGCGAAGGCAGCUUACUAAGCCAUAACUGACACUGAAGCACGAAAGCGUGGGGAUCAAACAGGAGUAGAUACCCCAGUAGUC
rnacentral:rRNA from 1 species